rnacentral:lncRNA from 1 species
UUGUGCCUUGUGCUUUCAUCCACGGCUCCUACUGCUGGGCUUAUCACUUCUCUGACCUGCUUCAUUGGGUUGUUGUUCAGCUUUCUUAGCAAACUUCUUUGGGGCGAUUUGAUUGUCAUCCCAAAGGGCGUAGGAUUCUGCGAUCGCGAAGACCUCUACUAGAGUCUGGCUGGGAGCGACAGUCACCUCGCAGUACAAGUCUUGCUCGG